rnacentral:lncRNA from 1 species
AAGCUUCUCCAAAAGCAAGGCAUAAGCUCAAGGGCUUCCCCACCCAUCGCUAUGGAACCAAGGUUGUGUGGAUCUUGUCCCCUUGUCUGUGGGUGAACGUAGCGAAGGUAGUAAAUCCCCCGCCGUGUUUGGGAGACUUGAGAUUCGAGGUUUUAGACAAAAACGAGACCAUAAAGAUUUGUCUCCCUCAAAAAACUAUAGAUUUGCCCUCCACUUUCAGGUAUCUU